AUGACUUCCUCACAGAUGGAGGAGGCAAUUAAGCUGCUUCACAAGGUCGCUGACUCCUUGCAAGGCUGGAUGGUGCGUAUUGGGAGCUUUCUGGAUCGUGCGAAGGUUGCUCUGCAAAGGCUCCCUCUUGCACAUGCUCCCGUGGUGGAGUCUUCUGUUGGCUUGAUUGAUGAGGCAGGUGCGGAGCUCUUUGGUAGCUUCUCACCCCGUGUUGGGUCUAGUUCGAUGCACCUUGUGUUGCCGGACUCCCUGGGUGAGGUAUCCGCUGAGGUUGUGUCUCUGGUGUUGCAGAUCAUGCCCGAGUUGCAGGUGUUGUGUGGGGAACAUGUUUCAUCUGUGUCGAUGGAGCAGCUCAAGUUGGACUCUCUCCAGGCUUCGAUGGUGGACCGUGUGUCCUCGUCACCCCCGUGGAGCCUCGUCAGGCUUCGGAGGUGGACCUGGUGCCCUCACCACCACCCGUGGAGCCUUAUCAGAGGUCAGACAACCUACCUCUCAGCAUCUUGA
rnacentral:rRNA from 1 species